GGGUCAGUGGGUUGGUCGUGCCACCGGUACGUACUGGUCUCACUGAUUCCUCCUUCCUGAAGAACCGUAAUGCCAUUAAUUUGGUGUUGCGGGGAAACAGGACUGUUACUUUGAAAAAAUUAGAGUGUUUAAAGCAAGAUAACGCUUGAAUACAUGAGCAUGGAAUAAUGAAAUAGGACGAUCGAUCCUAUUUUGUUGGUUUCUAGGAUUGACGUA
rnacentral:rRNA from 1 species